UGUUGUGUGUGUUCCUGCCAACCUGUGCCAUCGUCCAACGAGACGUCGCCGAGAUCCCCCAUCCAGCCGGAUCAAGCCAACGAAGGGGGGAUAUGUAGCAGACACGCCAUUAAAAGAUGACACCCAGCACCCCAGUCUCGGGCUACCGCCGCUCUCCCCGCCGAGGUAGACGACCACGGAGUGGCGAGAUUCAACUUCGCACACAGACGCUAAGUGAAUUACAAGCCAGAAGCAUCAAAACGAGACAGACACCUGGUUUUGCACGCCGACGCUAAGUGAAUUACCACCACCAGGAGCAUCAAAGCGGAGAUAAAAGACACCUGGUUUGGCACCAGAACGCUAAAUUCAAUAACUUCCACCUCCCAGCCAGACCGGGAUAAUGGAUGGGGUACUAGCGACACCCACAGGCCGCGGAAUGCCACUGCAAACGCGGGUUCACUAACCACAGUCUUCACUGGGAUCUUAUAUUUUUAGAACUUUACAUGUGUAAACGGGUCAAUCUGUGUGUUUAAUGAAGCUGAUAUAUAAUUCCACAAAAUCUGUAACUGCCUGACAAGAAAAUGCCUCCCAAUUCUGUGUAAACUGUGUGUAUGUAGCUCGGUGCUCCUCCUCUGUAAUUUCUUCUUCUGUGGUCCCCACUAUAAAUGUUUUCUGCUGCCCUGCCUCUGUCCUUUUGUACAAUUUUCCUGUGGGAGAGGUGGGUGACCAUAUUUCAUUCAGUUGGUAACCCUGAACCAUCCUAAUGUUGCUCUUUGUUUAUUAUAUGCAUCUUUAGUUCAGUAUUAUUGUUAUGUCUUUUCCUGUCACAUAAUGGGUACAUGUCAGUUGCGUUUCGAAAUAGUAUUUUUAACAGUUGAAGAUCGCUGGCUUGACGUUGUGACAAGCUGAACUGACUUCCGGGUUGUCGAUGUCGUCAUAUGUACAGGAAGUCCUCGAUUUACGAACAAGUUCCGUUCCUACGCUGGCGACGUAACACGAAUUUCCGCAGUUUUAUGUUCCUACAGAGAAAAUGUCCUAAAAUGUAAUGUCUACAAGUUCUGCGGCAUGUUGCUACCACCUACUGGUCACAGUGUAUAUUGCCACUGAAUAGUCAGCAUGCAGCGUCACAUGAUCAGUGAAAAGGAAACUGCAGCCAGGGGACAAAGGCUGGUCGGUGAAAACAAGAAAAUGGACACUAAAGGAGUGUCACAACUCCUAAAUUUCUGGUCAGAAGGCGCACGUUUUUCACUGUGUUUACUGGUGUAAAGAAGAAAAAUGCUGGUCAAACUUCAGUUGGACCGUGGCUUAUCUGUACAAGAAGAAAACUUUGGCAGCAGUUAUAUCCAUCUUUCACCCAAAGUCAGCUGGAAUGGGCUACAACUCACAGGCGGUAUAGAAAAUUGACAUUGAUCAUUUAAUCCAAUUAGGAAAAUGAAAAUAUUCAAAUACAAGCCUAUGGACUCAUGCAACACCGGGAAAUUGUUUAUUGAUCAUUCCGAUGUCACAAGUGAAAUUUGAACAUUCCUUUAGGGAUUAAAAAUGGAGUAAAAACGAAACGAACAUAAGAAUGAUCUAAAUGUAAAAAAAUAAAGUUGCUCUAUAAGUGCUACAUUGUACACUAUUUUAACUUUGUGCAAUACUUUGUUUUUUUUAAAGAGGAAAUAUUUUUUCCAUGUUCAACCUAUAAUUCAUAUUGGCUUGUGCUCAGUUGUUGCUACUGUUAAUUUGAAUGUACAAUUGCUAUAUUACCAAAAAUGUUUAGUUUGUUUUGUCCGAUUGUUGCAUGUUCUUUCAUGUUAAUUUGAAUUUGGAACGGAAUGUGUACCAUUCUCAAAAGUCUUUGGAAUGACCGGAUGUCUGAAUGUAACAACCAUAAAAUAAUACGGAAAUAUACAGUAUAAACACGGUGUGAUUUCAAAAUUGAAGCAUCUUGUCACCCUUGGAUCGCUUUGUACAGCAAUAUAUACAGUUGAUAUGAAUUUCAGGAAUAAAAUAGGCUGAUCAGUAGUCUUCCGUGCUGCCUCAGUGGAACCAAGGGUGCUGUUGAAGCUGGGACAGAGUGGCACAGGCGUCAGGGUCUCUUUUCAGGCAUGCGCUCAGCAGGCUGCGAGGAAAAGUUGAAGAUGGCAACUUCAGUGGUCUACAAACUACAACAUGGAGUGAAACGCUGCUGACAGUAUCAUGGCCAGUACUGACUGGAUCCUUAAACUUACUAUGAGAGAGCCUUGCGUCGAUUUCCCGCCUGAGGAAGAACUCCUCCGGUUCGAAUGGAGCGCAAUGCAGAAUUUCGAAGAGCAGAGUCCCGAGCUGCCAAACUGUGGUGGGGUUGGCCUUGUACUCCCCACAUGCAGCAACUUCUGGAGGAGCCAAGUCAAUGGUUCC